rnacentral:rRNA from 1 species
UCUUCCCUCUUUCUUCGUGCCUAAUACAUGCAAGUCGAGCGAACGGACGAGAAGCUUGCUUCUCUGAUGUUAGCGGCGGACGGGUGAGUAACACGUGGAUAACCUACCUAUAAGACUGGGAUAACUUCGGGAAACCGGAGCUAAUACCGGAUAAUAUUUUGAACCGCAUGGUUCAAAAGUGAAAGACGGUCUUGCUGUCACUUAUAGAUGGAUCCGCGCUGCAUUAGCUAGUUGGUAAGGUAACGGCUUACCAAGGCAACGAUGCAUAGCCGACCUGAGAGGGUGAUCGGCCACACUGGAACUGAGACACGGUCCAGACUCCUACGGGAGGCAGCAGUAGGGAAUCUUCCGCAAUGGGCGAAAGCCUGACGGAGCAACGCCGCGUGAGUGAUGAAGGUCUUCGGAUCGUAAAACUCUGUUAUUAGGGAAGAACAUAUGUGUAAGUAACUGUGCACAUCUUGACGGUACCUAAUCAGAAAGCCACGGCUAACUACGUG